rnacentral:rRNA from 1 species
UACGUAGGGUGCAAGCGUUGUCCGGAAUUAUUGGGCGUAAAGAGCUCGUAGGCGGUCUGUUACGUCGGCUGUGAAAACCUGGGGCUCAACUCCGGGCCUGCAGCCGAUACGGGCAGACUAGAGUUCGGCAGGGGAGACUGGAAUUCCUGGUGUAGCGGUGAAAUGCGCAGAUAUCAGGGGGAACACCGGUGGCGAAGGCGGCUACCUGGACCAGCACUGACACUGAGGCACGAAAGCGUGGGGAGCAAACAGG